UGGCAAAUCCUUGCCUAUCUACAAAUUGCCCCCGCCCACUACAUAUGAAGCUAACCAACACCAAGCAAAUACUGUCUUCAUGCUGGGCCAGAGGUCAUCUCAAUCGGAAAACAGGGGCUUCAGAUGGUAUUUCCGUUACACCAGCUAAUUGCAACCAUAUGCUUUUUGUGACAGAAAGGGACGUAUGAUGGAUGACUUGGAGCAUAAACAGCAGAGCCAGGAUGAUGAUAGGAAAGUCAUAACAUGUAUGCAUGCAAUUGGUGAUGAGGAAGAAUUUCACAAUUCAUCACUAGUGCUCACCUUGGCCCACUCAGUGAAGAAAAUCUAGUGAACCAGAUGAAAGCUUUGGCAUAGUUAAUGUGUACAUCAAGGAAAUAUGGCAUUCCAGGAAACAAAAAUUAUGCUUUGUGAAACCCAAACUGAACAUCAUCUUCCGAGUCUUCUGAAUCUGCCCUUUUUGUUCCUACUGUUUCUGAAGAUGCUUCUGGGCUUUGGAGAAAUAAGGACUUCCCAUUUUCCAAACCUUGAACCAACAGGGAAGAUCCACACCAUCAAGGCAGACGGGAUUUGCUCCACACCAGUAGCCUCAUGCACAUGAAGCAAUAUCCACAUUCUUAAUUUUGCCUUUUGCCACCUGUACUCAGCAUGUUGUCACGCAGUCAUUAACUUAGAAAACUAACGUAAGACAAACACAAAACUCUAGAAUAAAUGAGUUGCCAUAAGAAAACAAUUAAAAGUCACCUGUUGUGAACAAAACAUAUUUAAUCUAACAUGGGUAAAGAGACCACCCAGGAUUAGCCAAAGCUUGUGUUUUUCUUCCCCCCUCCUCUCCGCAAGCCCAUUACUUGCAAUACAGGUGCAUUUAUAUGAAUGACUUAUUGUGAAGGGCUGGGAUGAUGAUCUCAUCUCAACAGAUUUGACUGCCUGUAUACUACAUAAGAUGAUAAACGGUGAUUGGUUAACAAACACAUUUUUUAACAAAUUGAAAAGCAGUAGCAGGAGCAGAUAGCAAUGUAUUUGUGUUUUAAAAUAUUUAUUUAUUUUAAAACUAUGUCAUAGAAAUUAAAAUGUGAAACAUGAUUUCUCUAGUCAAUGUGCACAAAAAUAUCUUUAUCCAAGUAGGUAAAACCACCACAUUCUUGUAAUAGAGACUUCAGAAAUUAUCUUAAUCAAAGUAGAUAAUCCCAACACAAUUUUGAGAUAAAGAUUUCAGGAUCAAGCCCCUGAAAACCAAGUCAAUGGCAAAAUUUAGUAUCAGGAUUAGAAACAUUUCAGUAAUAAUUAAUUUUUGGUUGUAGUAAUGAAAAGUGAAAUUAAUUUUGUUGAAAUUUAACCCUUAAACAAAGACCUAUUAUACAGUGGAAGUCUCUAAGGAUAUAUUAGCAGAAAAUUACAAGCUGGUUUCUUUUAUUUUCCCUCCAAAACUCGUGUAUUUUGUGUGUCUUCACACAUGUAUGGUCUUUCACCUGGAAAUAAAAAUUGCUCUGGUCAAAAAUAA